GUAUUUAUAGUGCAUAUUGAGCAUUAACUAUUUAUGGCAUCGGAGGGGGAAAAGCUCUUAAGUGAAUGAAAACUUUGUAACACAAAAAUUUCGAUAUCAUUCCAAUGAAACGGAAGGAAAGUUCUGUCAUGUCCUGUUAAGUUCGAUAGAUUUUUUAUUUAUAAAGGGGGAGAAAAAGAGAUAAUCAGGAUGAACAGUGAAUUAGAAGGCGCGCUGUCGGAUGAUGAGGAGUACGAUCCGUAUUCCAUGAUGCCUGUCACAAAACUAGUGGCUCUAUACGACUAUUCGUACCAAGAUGAUGACGGAAACCUCGUCCACAUGAAAGAGGGGGAGCAGUAUCAUUUAAUUCAGAAAGAAGGCGAUUGGUGGGAAGUGGUCCGGGACAUGGGUGAUUCGGACGAUCUCUCCUUCUACGUCCCUGCUAAUUAUGUGCGCGUUGUUGACAAGAACGGCGGAAGUGGUGUAAACUCCUCAACAACAACGGCGACGAGAGCGGAUGAAUCAUGUGUUAGGGAUAAUGAAGAAAACAGACCAGGAAAUAGAACGCUAUUUGAAGAUUCCUCUGACCUCUCAAGUGAGCAAGUGACUCCGGAAAAAAAUGUCGACAAAACAGAAAAUGGUGUGCAGGGAUUAGUCGACAAAAUGGCGGAGGACUCGAUUAAUAACGAAUUGAGAUUUGAGCGUAAACCAUCCACCACAUUCUCAACGUUCGGAAAUACAUCAGGAUCUUUAACGCUAAACACCAGAGCUGCUGAUACCAAAGGACUUAGGAGGAGUUUUUCUGACGAAGGAGAUUAUGUGAAUCUAGACCAGUACAGACAAGAUAUUGGGAUUCCUUCAGACAGAAAUCACGACGAUGGGGAAGAAGUUUACGCCAACCUUCAGCAGCUGCACGGACAGGACGGUGGAGGUUUCCCCCCACCCCCCGACACCCCUCCCCCCGCCACACAGGGGAUCUACCUCAAGACCCUGCUGGAUGUCUGGGACAAGUACCUUGACCCCGCCCAAAAGCGAGAAUUUUACGUCAACAAAGAAACGCAGGAACGGACGUACAAACCCCCGCGGCCAGCCGAUAAACAAAAACAGGUGGUUACAGUUCACGCCAGCCCCUAUAGUCACGUACAAGAACAUUAUGUUCAGAGGCCCGUCAUGACGGUGGAAGCUCUGAACAGCCGAAAAGUCAGUCUUCCCGAAAUCCAGGUGCAGGCUCCGACUGGAUGGAGAAUUGAAGAUAGCGCGGCAGGAAAAAUCUUCGUCAGCUGCGCGACAAAUGAAAAGAAGGACCCAAGAUACGCAUGGGCCUCAAAGGUGAAUGAGGAUGGACAGCGGUAUUACUUUCGCAUCGACGGCGACGAGUCCGCCUGGGAAUUGCCAAAGGUUGAUGAAAACGACGAGUCCAAAGCGUCACCCCCCUUGGAUCCCCCUCCCACGCGGUCUCCCAAUAGAUCCCCCAGGAUGGGGCGCUCGGUAAAAGCCAGAUCCAUGGUCAUUGGAAAGCAAAUUAAUUUUCAGUCUUACAUGCCGACCAUCCCCUCACAAAUUCCAAAGUCACAAACUCUUCCGGCCAAUAUGUCUACUCCCAUUAUUACGGAAAGUACUUCAAACGACCAAAGAAGUGCAACUCUGGCUCCACAUAUUCAGGAAGGUCUGUCUGCAACCAUGAAAGUUGCCAAGGUCAUGGAGGCAGGGAAACCCAAAAAGAAAAACUACAACCAAAACUACGUAAAGCUGGCCGGGUCAAAUAUCGUGUUUUACAAAGAUCUGAGGGCGUCCAAAAGUCAGCCGGGAUCACCCAAUGGGAGGCCAGAGUUCAUUGUACCAUUGCAUGGGGCGUCUGUGGAACGACAUGGCAAAGAAAAAACCAAACGGAAUAUUAAGCUGUCGACCAACCAGGGAGACCAGUAUGUACUACAGUAUGAGGACGAGAUCAUGCUACAGAACUGGGUGCUACAGAUUGAUAAAACCAUCAGAAGUCUGGGAGGUAACCCUGAGCCACCUUCCCCCUCUGCCCUCACACUGGAACCACCCUCAGAGAAACCCAUAAAAAAAAAACCUUCAUUCAAAACAAGCGCUGCAAAGGAUUCAGUAGUUCGAAAAGGAAGCUCCAACGAGGAAGGAAGUUUGGAGAGAGGGAAGUUAAGAACCAAGCUGUUCAACUUUAUGAAGUCAAGGCCAACCAAAGAGUCUCUAGAACAAAAGGGCAUUAUUAAAGAUGCUGUUUUUGGAGCUCAUUUGAAACAACUGUGUGAGAGAGAAAAGGGGAAAAUCCCCAAAUUCAUUCAAAAAUGUGUUGUGGCAAUAGAGAAAAAAGGGCUGGAUCAUGAUGGGAUCUACAGAAUAAGUGGUAACCUAGCUCAAAUCCAAAAACUCAGGUGUCAGGUGGACCAAGAUGCCGAACUCAACCUAAACAGUGAAACUCACAAAGACCAUUACAACUUGGAGGACGAAUGCUGGGACGUUCAUGUCUUGUCUGGUUCCCUUAAACUGUUCUUCCGGGAGCUCAAGGAACCUCUGUUUACAUUUAAUUUGUUCGACAGAUUCAUUCCUGCCUUAAGUAAAGAAAAAAAUAGUGACCGUUUAAAAGCAGCGAGAGAGUUGAUCAAGACAUUACCAAAUUAUAACUACGAAACGUUAAAAUUUCUUCUGGCGCAUCUGUGCAAGGUCAUAGACCACAGUAAAGAGAACAGGAUGCAGGUCCAUAAUGUGGCCAUUGUUUUCGGCCCGACCUUAAUCUGGCCCGAAACCGUCACACCGAACCUCGCGGCCAACAUGAUCUACCAGAGUCGGAUAGUGGAGUACUGCCUACUGGAGUAUAAAAACAUAUUUAGGUGAAGAUUCGCGAAAAAAAAAAUCGCAAACCACUCCGUAAUAACGAGUUGUACAUGUAUUAUUCAGCAAAGAAAGAAAAACCAAACUUGAACAAUAUUGCUGACUCAGCAUAUAUUUUUUUUUUUCCUUCCGUUCCGCUCUUACCUACUGAGUAUGGUAAGAUCAUGAGAGCCAAAAAGAAAGGGAUAGAGUGAUAGAAUUAGAUACUAUCAGAUGAAGAUUAUUCAAAGGGGUUCAAAGCAAAGUCAGUGGUUAUGGUUGGGAUGAUAAUUAUUUUUUUUUUUUGGAAUAUAUGUCUGCAAGAAUGGGAAGAUAGUCCAGAGUGAAAGAUUGUAGAAAGAUGAAAAAAAAAUUUAUAUGAAUUUUUUGGAGUACAAGGAAGUUAGGAACAAAAAAUAAAGGCUGCUCAGCAUUUGCCAAAAUAAAAAACCAAUGCUCCACUCUACAAAAUACUUUCAUGAUCUACAAAUUUUAACUGUAUGUAUAUUUUAAGAUAGAAUUUUUCAUUUCUUUUGCUAGCUAGCAGUUUCAGACUUAAAAAGUGGAUAUAUAUGAAUAGUUAGUUGUAGAUUUAAUUCAUCUAUUUUUUUGUUGCACAUCUGUUGUGAUUUGAAUUUUUAAAAUCAGUGCUAAAAAUGUUUAGAAAAUUCAAAUUCUGUUGUGUUCAGUAUUUUCAAAUGCUUGUAUUCCAUUUAAUAGCAUUCCAGAACAUUGUUAUAAUUUGUUUGUUGUUGUAGAGGUUUAUCAAAUUUCUAUAUCGAGAAGUUAUCUAUUUGGUGUGUUUAAGAUGCUAAAUGAAAUUAUACAUUUAAUAUAUAUUUGAUAGUCCUGAAAUAUUAUUUACAGAUGUAUAAAAUCAUGCUGUUAAUAUUAGAUGUUAAUUCAUUAACUUUUCAGAUGUUUAUUAAUGUUAUUAAUAACCAGAUGAGUUAUAUUAUAGAGGACAACUUCUAACAGUUAUGAAGUCAAGGAAACCUAAUGUGUACCUUAUAUAUUUGGAUAAUUUAAAAAUGCUGUUAAACAGUUAAAGUAUUAUUACUUUUUAGCAUUGUUGGAAACCCAAAGUCAGUCUGGAAUACACUUACUAACAGUGGUCCAACUCAUUGAACUUUUCUCGUUCUCAUGAAUAGUUCAUGCUUUCUUCCAAUUGGCUCCUUCACACUUUUGUGGAGCAGAUCUCACUAAUCCUGAUAAUGAAUCCAUCAACAAAGGCAUGUUUUGAUCAUUCUUUCAAAAAAAAAAAGAAAAAUUUUAGCUUUAAUUUCUCAUUUGUGAAUUAAGAAUAAUGAAUAUUUAGUAAAAAAGAAAAUUUCAUUGAGUUGUUCCACAGUCAAUUAGUAUAUGCGAGACUGAUUGGGGGCUUCUGAUGAUGUAUUUUUACUUUUUAGCUGAUAAAAUACUUUUAACAGGCAUUUAAAGUUUUGUUUUCCAAACUUUAAAAUAACCACCAUCAUGUUAGGAAAAACAAGACAAAAACAACUAGUUACAACUAACUGCAAUUACUGCUUACCUGUUCUUUAAUGUUAAUGAAAAUUCACAAAAUUUGUCUUGAUAUAGCUAUGGUCCUUCUAUAUAUGUAUAUUCCUGUUUUUAAUACUGUUUUUGACAUAAGUAACAUUUUGAUGUUCUAAUUUGCAGUUGUAAUGGAAAUAAUGAUUACUAGAGUUGUCA